GAUACCCGCUGAACUUAAGCAUAUCAAUAAGCGGAGGAAAAGAAACCAACAGGGAUUGCCUCAGUAACGGCGAGUGAAGCGGCAAGAGCUCAAAUUUGAAAUCUGGCCCCUUCGGGGUCCGAGUUGUAAUUUGGAGAGGAUGCUUCGGGUACGGCCCCCGUCUAAGUGCCCUGGAACGGGCCGUCAUAGAGGGUGAGAAUCCCGUCUGGGACGGGUGGCCGGGCCCGUGUGAAGCUCCUUCGACGAGUCGAGUUGUUUGGGAAUGCAGCUCUAAAUGGGUGGUAAAUUUCAUCUAAAGCUAAAUAUUGGCCGGAGACCGAUAGCGAACAAGUAGAGUGAUCGAAAGAUGAAAAGCACUUUGAAAAGAGAGUUAAACAGCACGUGAAAUUGUUGAAAGGGAAGCGCUUGCAACCAGACUCGCCCAGGGAGGUUCAGCCGGCACUCGUGCCGGUGCAUUCCUCCCCGGGCGGGCCAGCGUCGGUUUGGGCGGCCGGUCAAAGGCCCCCGGAAUGUGUCGCCCUCCGGGGCGUCUUAUAGCCGGGGGUGCAAUGCGGCCAGCCCAGACCGAGGAACGCGCUUCGGCUCGGACGCUGGCGUAAUGGUUGUAAGCGGCC
rnacentral:rRNA from 1 species